rnacentral:rRNA from 1 species
UACGGUAGGGGGCGAGCGUUGUCCGAAUUUACUGGGCGUAAAGAGCGCGUAGGCGGGCUUUUAAGUGAGAGGUGAAAGGUUCAGGCUCGAACCCGAACAGUGCCUUUCAUACUGGGACGCCUUGAGUGUGGGAGAGGCGAGUGGAAUUUCUGGUGUAGCGGUGAAAUGCGUAGAUAUCAGAAGGAACACCCAUGGCGAAGGCAGCUCGCUGGCCUACAACUGACGGCUGAGGCGCGAAAGCGUGGGUAGCAAACAGG